rnacentral:rRNA from 1 species
AGCAGCCGCGGUAAUUCCAGCUCCAAUAGCGUAUAUUAAAGUUGUUGCAGUUAAAAAGCUCGUAGUUGAAUUUCGGGAUCAGUGGGUCGGUCGUGCCACUGGUAUGCACUGGCCCUACUGGUUCCUCCUUCUUGAAGAACUGUAAUGCCAUUAAUUUGGUGUUGCAGGGAAACAGGACUGUUACUUUGAAAAAAUUAGAGUGUUUAAAGCAGGCAAUCGCUUGAAUACAUUAGCAUGGAAUAAUGAAAUAGGACGUUCGAUCCUAUUUUGUUGGUUUCUAGGAUUGACGUAAUGAUUAAUAGGGAUAGUUGGGGGCAUUAGUAUUCAAUUGUCAGAGGUGAAAUUCUUGGAUUUAUUGAAGACUGACUACUGCGAAAGCAUUUGCCAAGGAUGUUUUCAUUAAUCAAGAACGAAAGUUAGGGGAUCGAAGACGAUCAGAUACCGUCGUAGUCUUAACCAUAAACUAUGCCGACUAGGGAUCGGAUGAUGUUAAUUUUAUAAUGACUCA